CAUGUUUAACGACCGAGUCAGCGAUCCAGUAUAAUAUUAAUUAUUAAUUAUUCUCCGUUUUAAUGAUUGUGCCCAAUAAGCUAUCAAUCUGGUUGAUUUAAAUUUUUUGACAUUUUAUAUUUUUAAAUAGCAAUCGUUUUGAGAAAGAACUGUUUUGUUGAUCGGUUACCGUGCACCCUAUUGUUUUUCAUCUUUUUGGUUUUUAUAGUACUAUUUCAGUCGUGAAUCGUGAGUCGCCGUCCAUCCGUUAUUAACUGUUCUGUAAUCAGCUGAAAAAUGGCCCAAAAUUUCCAAAGCAAUCCAUUGGUCAGUGUUGAAUCGGUAAAUAUUAUCCUAAAUAUUAUUAGGUACUUUCGUAAUAAUAAUAUUGACAAAUACUCGGUGACCAGCCGAGUAAUAAUAAAAGAGGCUAAAUCCGUUUGACGUACACAGUUUUUACAAUAAUUUUUCAAGUCAUACUAAAACCAUUAUUGGUGUGUUUUCAGCCACAUUCGUUGUAUUAAAUAUUAAUGUCUUAUUUUGUAAAAAAAAAAUAUACUGUACCUACUUCUAUUUGUUAUGAGUCUCAGUAUGAUAGAAAUUGCUAAUAUUUAGAUAUCCAUAUUAAUUUUUGUUAAAAUUUUUUGUUCAUUUUUUCUGAAAAGAAAUCAGAUUGGGCGGUAGCGGUAUUACAUAGAGAUUAUUUUUUUGAUUUUUCUUGGGAUUUUCUGGAUAAAUAAGAAAAAACAUAGGAAAAAUUGAAUGAAAUAUUUUUAAAAAAAAAUACAUAAUGCAUAUGAAAUUAUUUUAUUAUAAUAUGAUAUAAAUAUUAUUGACAAAGCAACAAUAUUAACCGAACUCCGCUCAGAAUCAUUUUUUGUUAGCAAUGAUUAAUUGUUACAUGCAGAUAUACCCUCUACAACUUCCCAAUUUCUCGCCUACACCAGUGGCCGACCCAUAUGCAAAGUAUAUUUGUCUAGUAUAUUUAUUUAUAUUUCGAUUGUAAUAACAUUAUGUGAUAAAAGUUCUUCAUACUUAUGAAUGAUGUUUUACACACAAUUAUUUAUCUUGCUUUCAUUUAUUGUGUUUUCAAUUGAAGAUAUGAUUAUAUAGAACAGGUUUAAUAGAUUGAUUUAGUGAAUUUUUGAUAUCCAGGUCUAUUGAAAAUAUUUUACGAGCAGUAUUCGGUUUACUGUGCAACUCGAGAUGUCACAGUAGUCAAACUUGCAUAAAUAAAUAUUUUUGUAAUUUAAAUAUACCUAAUAUAUGAUAACAGUUUAAAAUUUGUAUUUAUAUAUAACUAAUAUUAUAGUAGGUACCUAUAAAUUUUUGUAUAAAUAUGUAAUAAUAAAAUUAAUUUGUAUAACAAAAAUAUAAAAUUUAAAUCUUUACCUAUAUCGAUAUAUUAUAAUAAUUUAAACAUUUAAACAUAAUUGAUAAUAAAAAACAUAUUUAAUUUUGGACAUUUACUGAUAGAAAUCCUCGGUUUCACUGGUAUUCAAAAUUUUAAUGUGACAUAUUACAUAUUUUAAAUUUCACUGAAAUGAAAGAAAAAAAUGUAGUUAUUUGCUCUGAACUCUUAGAAUUUAAAAAAUUCUUAAGUAUCUAUUAGUGUUUAAUAUUUUUCUGUUUAUAACAGUUAAUAAUUAGUUUCUUAUAUAACUAUAAUUUUACCAGACAAUUAGUUUAGUUAUCCAGAUGUAAAAAUAAAAACAACAAAAUUCUAACAUUUUCCAUCCCUGAAAUUGUAUUAGUUAUUAUAUUUCUGAUAUAAAUUGUUGACAUUUUAUAUUAAUUUAUUAUAUCCAUUUUCUAUGUUUAAAUAUUGGAAUUAUUAAUUAUUAUUUUUGUUUUAGCAAAAGCAGCUUACAAUAGAGCAGUAUACAUUAGUAGACAAAAUACUUACGCUGGACAAAUUUAACUAAAUUAACCACAAUAUACACCCUACCAAGUAAUUAAAUUUAUUAGUAUAUAUCAUAACAUGAGUUCAUUAGGUUUUAUUACAAAUAAUUAGUAUUUACAAUUUACAUUAAGAGGUACUUAGCAAUUCUUAUUAUGUAAAAUAAUGUUUAUUUUUGUUAAUCUGUAUGGAUAUCAUAAGUAUUGGAUUAGAAAUUUGAAUAUUUUACUUAUUUUGUGUGUGAAGUCUAUUUUCACUAUAUUUAUUUUAUUUUAUUAACACCAAAUAGCAUUAUAUAAAGAAUAAGUGAAAAUACAUAAAUUAUGGUGAAAUGAUAACAAUACAAAUUUAUUUUUGACAGAAUUAAAACUAAGAUCAUUACAUGCAAAAAGUGAAUAAAACAGUAUAUUAACAAACAAUAUAAAAGCAAAUAUAUACAAAAUAAACUAGGUGGCUUUAUUGGUACGGCGAAGUAUGCGGUGUAAAGGAUGGUUGUGAUUGUAGGAGGUGGAGUAGGUAGGGAUAUUAAAGGGUGUAUGAUAUUUUGAGGGGUAAGUAGGAACAAGGAAAUUAACAGAGGAAAGGUGGUCUGGGGCAUCUAUUUUUAACGGGCCUAAUGUAACGAUGUUGUCUUAGAAAAAAAACUUGAUAAAAAUAAAUAAACUCCAACUUGAGUGUUAUAAAUAAAUAAUAUUUCCAUAUAAAAUAUUACAAUAAACUGUGUUCAAUUAAUUCAAACAACACAAAUACACAAGUUUAAUAAAUAAAUUCACAAAAAUAAUACAAGUCCAAAUAACAAUAAAUAGAGUAAUGCGAAAUUGGUCACAUUUGAUUGUGGUAGACUCGUCUGAUUUGACAAUGUUAUAUAUUCUAAUGCUUAUUUAUAGUGGCUGCUAUCUAUAUUUUAUUGCUGGCACCGGCUAAUACCAAAAAUUAUAUUAUAUUAUGUUACAACCCAGGCCCACUCAUUUUAUUUUUAUAUGUAUUUUUUUUUUAUUAAAUUUAGAAUAUGGCUGGUGUAGGUUCGUGUGCCGAAACUAUAUUUGGGUGCUGUGUAUUUUUACAUGCCUACUGGUAGGUAUUCGGUUCCAUAUGUGGUGAUUAGCACCAUAUACAGCCUGCCUCUUGCUGGGGGCACGUGUGGGCACAUAACAUAUUGAAUCAUCAAGUAGACUUUGAAUAAAACAAAAAUCAGUAUCAAUUUGUUGAAAAGAAAGCGUGGAGAUCUUUAGUUUUAAAAGUAUAGUAGUAGUUAUGUUGUGGAUGCACAAUUUUAAGUAGGGAAUAGAUAUAUGAAAGAAACCUAUUCUGGACUGUCUCUAGUCUUAACUGGUCUUUCACUAAAUGAGAGUGUCAAACUAUUAUACAGUACUCUAAAAUUGGGUGUACAAGGAAUAGGUUAAGUGUACAAAGACAGUGGACAGAGCUAAAUAUUUUAGUGUUACGUUUUAAGAAACCCAGGACUUUCAGUGCUUUGCAGACAGUAACAUUAAUGUGGUGGUUUUUUAAAUUUAAAUUCCUCAGGUAUUAUAUGUAAGUUCCUACAUAUUUCAAUAAUAAUUAAAUUAUUUGUAUAAUUUGUAAUAAAGUUUGAGAUGAACAAUCACGCAAUAUUUCAUAGUUUACUUAAAAGGAUGCAUAUUAAACAUUAAAUAAAAAUAAUACUAUUCUUAAAAAAUAUUGAGAAUUAACAAAUACCUACCUACCUUCAAAAAAAUAAAACCUUACUAGAUACCUAUCUAUGACAAAAUAAUUUUAUUUUUAGAUUUAUUUAAGAUAAAAAUAACCAAAAAACAAUUAAGUACAUUACCUAUACUGUAUAGGUAGCCAGGUAGGUAACCUUUACAUGACAGCACAAAACAAUUUUUUGACAUGGUUUAAUACAAAAAAAAAACUUGCAACAUGUAUUCAUGUAAUUAUAUGGUAUAACAUUUAUUAAUUAUUAAUAAAAUAAUGAACAUAUAAUACAAAAACCGUAAAAUGUCCUAUAGCACUUGUAUAAAAUGAGCAUGACUAAUGUUUGUAGCACACUGUUGGAAGUUACAAAUUUGGGACAUUUUUUAUCUGUCCAGCUGUAAUCGGUGUUCUUACUCUAAUGUUCUUGUCUAUGAGAUAUAUCUGGUUGUUAUCUCGUGAUGCUGAACCACACAAUGUCUGUCUUAGAAAUAUGUUGGUAGUCGAGAUAAGAGGAAAGUACCCUAGUUUAAAUUUAAUAUGAACUUUGUGAAGGUAAAUAAUAUCUAAUGUUUUGUAAAUGUAAAAUGUACAUUUUUUAGGGAUAGAUAUGCACUUUAUGCAAAAAGUUUGUUGUAUUAAAUACUUCACACAACUGUACUGAUGAUACAAAAUUAUAAACUAGUAUUAGUACUAGUAAGUUGUACUAUUGAUUUUAAAGUUAAUACCUACUAGUAGAACAUAAUUGGUUAUUUUUUAACAGAUAUAUUUAUAUUCUAGAAUAAUUUUUUAAUCAAAUAUAUUCUGGGACUAUUAACUAAUUUAAUACAUUGGUAUUAUGUAUUUUGAUAUAUAUUAUAUGUUUAAUAUCUAAGUACUUUAAUUUAAUGUGUGUUGAUUAAAUUAAUAAAGAAACUAAUUUGUCUAAACAUUUUAUUUUUUUAGAUCUCCAAACGUCUUGCAUCCUAUAAGUAAUCAUAUUAAACAAGGCAAAAUUAUUAUAAAUAUGGCUAAAGGUACGAUUACCUAGGCGUGACUGGUCACUGAGACCAGUCUCCAGUGGCUUAAAGAAAACCAUACACAAUUCAGUUAUUAUUUGCUCGCUCCAUCAUUGUAGAUAUUCAAUAAUUGUGCAUGUUACAAUAUAGUAUAUGUGUCAUAUAUAUAUAUAUAUGUCAUAUUAUUAGUACAUAUUAUGCAGUUGCAGUACUUGGAAACCUAACUAGGUGCUAUUGAUUUAUAUGUUUGAUAGGGUAAGUUAAUUAAAUUUUCUAUUAUAGUUAAUUAGUUAAAUUAAAAUACU
rnacentral:lncRNA from 1 species